AGGCCUCAGUGAAGGCCGUUUUACAUCAUCAUCUGUCUGCGUGUGCUUUUACCUGAGCUGUGUGAGACUCUUGGCUCCGAUGUCCUGACAGGAGUGCUGAAUGCCAGCCAGCAGUGGACUCAUCAUUCUUCAGCACCACCACAUAUCUGGUCUGAGAGCCCAGGUUUUUGUCCAUAGCAUCCAGGGAGCCCAUGCCACGAUACUUCUUCAGACGGAUGCCGUCGGAAAAGAAAUAUUCACCAGGAGCUUCGCUGGUGGCAGCCAGCAGAGAGCCCAUCAUCACUGAACAUGGAGAGCAAAAAGCUAUUCAGUGGAAGUUAAGCUAGAAGACUGGAAACUAAUCCUUAUCAUAUACUGUAAAACAUGUAGCCUGAACUGAAAUAAAAGUUUUAUAUUAUAUUUUUAAAUU